GACGAACGCUGGCGGCGUGCUUAACACAUGCAAGUCGAACGGAAAGGCCCUGCUCUUGUGGGGUGCUCGAUUGGCGAACGGGUGAGUAACACGUGAGUAACCUGCCCCUGACUUUGGGAUAACUUCACGAAACUGGGGCUAUUAUCGGGUAUGAGCUCCUGAUGCAUGGGGGGGGUUGGAAAGUGUCGGUGGUUGGGGCUGGAAUAGCGGCUUAUGAGCUGGUUGGGGGGGUAGUGGCUGACCAAGGCUUUGACGGAUAGCCGGCCUGAGAGGGUGACCGGCCACAUGGGGACUGCGAUACGGACCAGACUCCUACGGGAGGCAGCAGUGGGGAAUAUUGCACAAUGGGCGGAAGCCUGAUGCAGCAACGCCGCGUGCGGGAUGACGGCCUUCGGGUUGUAAACCGCUUUCGCAUGUGACGAAGCGUGAGUGACGGUAAUGGGUAAAGAAGCACCGGCUAACUACGUG
rnacentral:rRNA from 1 species